rnacentral:rRNA from 1 species
GACGAACGCUGGCGGCGCGCCUAAUACAUGCAAGUCGAACGAGAGCAACCGGUGCUUGCACUGGUCAAUCUAGUGGCGAACGGGUGAGUAACACGUGGGUAACCUGCCCAUCAGAGGGGGAUAACAUCCGGAAACGGAUGCUAAAACCGCAUAGGUCUUCGAACCGCAUGGUUUGAAGAGGAAAAGAGGCGCAAGCUUCUGCUGAUGGAUGGACCCGCGGUGCAUUAGCUAGUUGGUGAGGUAACGGCUCACCAAGGCCGUGAUGCAUAGCCGACCUGAGAGGGUGAUCGGCCACAUUGGGACUGAGACACGGCCCAAACUCCUACGGGAGGCAGCAGUAGGGAAUCUUCCGCAAUGGACGCAAGUCUGACGGAGCAACGCCGCGUGAGUGAAGAAGGUUUUCGGAUCGUAAAACUCUGUUGUUAGAGAAGAACAAGUGCUAGAGUAACUGUUAGCGCCUUGACGGUAUCUAACCAGAAAGCCACGGCUAACUACGUG